rnacentral:rRNA from 1 species
AACGAACGCUGGCGGCGCGCCUAAUACAUGCAAGUCGAGCGAGAAGGUGUAGCAAUACACUUGUAAAGCGGCGAACGGGUGAGGAAUGCAUGGGUAACCUACCCUCGAGUGGGGAAUAACUAGCCGAAAGGUUAGCUAAUACCGCAUACGUUUCCGGAACUUCGGUUUCGGAAAGAAAGCAAUACCGUGGGUAUUGCGCUCCUGGAUGGGCUCAUGUCCUAUCAGCUUGUUGGUGAGGUAACGGCUCACCAAGGCUUCGACGGGUAGCUGGUCUGAGAGGACGAUCAGCCACACUGGCACUGCGACACGGGCCAGACUCCUACGGGAGGCAGCAGUAAGGAAUAUUGCGCAAUGGACGAAAGUCUGACGCAGCGACGCCGCGUGGGGGAUGAAGGUCUUCGGAUUGUAAACCCCUUUCGGGAGGGAAGAUGGAGUGGGUAACC